ACUAUUCACGAAUACGACACUAUUCAUCGAAAAAUGAAAUUUUUCCUUUUCGUCCAAAAUAUCUAUUAUGGAUACUAGCUUUGAUUGUAUCCAUGUUUUGAUCAUUCUUCAAUUUUACUUCACUAUGAUUAUUUAUGAGGUAUUUUUGGACAUGAAAUAGCUGAAAUAUGAAUCCUUGAUAUUUAUUCUUUUGUUUCACUGGAUUC
rnacentral:lncRNA from 1 species